ensembl:lncRNA
GGCUCUCACAGAGAAGCUUGACUACUGAGAAGAGGCUGCUGACCUGAGCACUGUCCUAGAUCAGCGGAGGAAACAGGGUUGGAGUACGGAAGCACGGAGGGUCACGGGGAACGCUGGAGCCCAUCCCAGCCGUCUUAGGGCGAGAGCCGGACACUGGCGGCACCGGGCCCUCUGACCACCACCAGUAGGCAACAGGUGAAGUGUCUUGCCCAAGGACCCAACGACUGAGACUGUCCGAGCCAGGGCUCGAACCGGUAACCUUCCGAUUACAUGACUAACUGCCAACUCUUGAGCCACGAUCGCCCUCAUCCGUGGGAUAAUAAAGGUUUAUUUAGUGUUUCCAGUUAAGCUAACUCCACUAUCUGCAUGUCUGCGGGAGGGAGAACCCCCACACACAAGGAGAACAUGCAAACUCCACACAGAAAGAACCCACCCUGAUGGUGGAAUUGAACUCAGGACCUUCUUGCUGUGAGGCCACAGUGCUAACCACCGUGCUGCAAACUAACCUGCUUUAGUCUGUUUGUUUUGUUUUGUAGACUGAAAUAUGAUAAGACACACAGCUGGCUCAGACUACGUUGCUAACAGAAUAAUUUACAGCCUAUAUCAGCCCUGAUAGCAUAUUCAUCUUGUAAUACUGCAGUAGAUCGUGUGUGAAGGCCCUAUUGGCGGCUGAUUCUGUGGUUUACAGGGACAUCUAGUGGCCAAGUGUCAAAAUAACACAAAAGGAAAUGAUCAAAUAUUUCAUCCAUGUAAAUCACAAAUGACCACAAAUCUUUAUUUUGUUUGUUUGUUUGUUUUAACCAUAAAAAGAAAAAGAUGGUUGCUGUUUGUUACUUUAUCAUUUUUUGUAAUCCCACAAAUAAACACAAAUAAACAGACAUAUAGAAACAUAAAGGCGGACUGCAUAAUGCAACACUUGUUGGUAAACAGUGACAACACAGAGGCAGCGUUUGUCACUUUGUAACAUCUGAAGUUGGAAAGUAAAGAUAAGAUAAAAAUGUUCAUAUAAAGAAAAUGAUAAAGGAGCAUGCUUUCAUGUUCUCGGUUCCAGUCACAUACAAAGUCUACAGGUGUGUUUCUGUUGUGUUGCUUA